GCGUCGGUGGUGUAACGGUAGCACGCACCUCCGGUAUGGGUGAAACGCGGAUUCAACUCCAGCUUGAUGUC